UUAAAUUGAAGAGUUUGAUCAUGGCUCAGAUUGAACGCUGGCGGCAGGCCUAACACAUGCAAGUCGAACGGUAACAGGAAGCAGCUUGCUGCUUCGCUGACGAGUGGCGGACGGGUGAGUAAUGUCUGGGAAACUGCCUGAUGGAGGGGGAUAACUACUGGAAACGGUGGCUAAUACCGCAUAACGUCGCAAGACCAAAGAGGGGGACCUUCGGGCCUCUUGCCAUCAGAUGUGCCCAGAUGGGAUUAGCUUGUUGGUGAGGUAACGGCUCACCAAGGCGACGAUCCCUAGCUGGUCUGAGAGGAUGACCAGCCACACUGGAACUGAGACACGGUCCAGACUCCUACGGGAGGCAGCAGUGGGGAAUAUUGCACAAUGGGCGCAAGCCUGAUGCAGCCAUGCCGCGUGUAUGAAGAAGGCCUUCGGGUUGUAAAGUACUUUCAGCGGGGAGGAAGGUGUUGUGGUUAAUAACCGCAGCAAUUGACGUUACCCGCAGAAGAAGCACCGGCUAACUCCGUGCCAGCAGCCGCGGUAAUACGGAGGGUGCAAGCGUUAAUCGGAAUUACUGGGCGUAAAGCGCACGCAGGCGGUCUGUCAAGUCGGAUGUGAAAUCCCCGGGCUCAACCUGGGAACUGCAUUCGAAACUGGCAGGCUUGAGUCUUGUAGAGGGGGGUAGAAUUCCAGGUGUAGCGGUGAAAUGCGUAGAGAUCUGGAGGAAUACCGGUGGCGAAGGCGGCCUCCUGGACAAAGACUGACGCUCAGGUGCGAAAGCGUGGGGAGCAAACAGGAUUAGAUACCCUGGUAGUCCACGCCGUAAACGAUGUCUACUUGGAGGUUGUGCCCUUGAGGCGUGGCUUCCGGAGCUAACGCGUUAAGUAGACCGCCUGGGGAGUACGGCCGCAAGGUUAAAACUCAAAUGAAUUGACGGGGGCCCGCACAAGCGGUGGAGCAUGUGGUUUAAUUCGAUGCAACGCGAAGAACCUUACCUGGUCUUGACAUCCACAGAACUUUCCAGAGAUGGAUUGGUGCCUUCGGGAACUGUGAGACAGGUGCUGCAUGGCUGUCGUCAGCUCGUGUUGUGAAAUGUUGGGUUAAGUCCCGCAACGAGCGCAACCCUUAUCCUUUGUUGCCAGCGAUUAGGUCGGGAACUCAAAGGAGACUGCCAGUGAUAAACUGGAGGAAGGUGGGGAUGACGUCAAGUCAUCAUGGCCCUUACGACCAGGGCUACACACGUGCUACAAUGGCGCAUACAAAGAGAAGCGACCUCGCGAGAGCAAGCGGACCUCAUAAAGUGCGUCGUAGUCCGGAUUGGAGUCUGCAACUCGACUCCAUGAAGUCGGAAUCGCUAGUAAUCGUGGAUCAGAAUGCCACGGUGAAUACGUUCCCGGGCCUUGUACACACCGCCCGUCACACCAUGGGAGUGGGUUGCAAAAGAAGUAGGUAGCUUAACCUUCGGGAGGGCGCUUACCACUUUGUGAUUCAUGACUGGGGUGAAGUCGUAACAAGGUAACCGUAGGGGAACCUGCGGUUGGAUCACCUCCUUACCUUAAAGAAGC
rnacentral:rRNA from 1 species